CCAAUAGCGUAUAUUAAAGUUGUUGCAGUUAAAAAGCUCGUAGUUGAAUUUCGGGAUUAGUACGCUGGUCGUGCCUUCGGUAUGUACUGGUGUUACUGGUUCCUACCUUCUGACGAACCGUCAUGUCAUUAAUUUGGUGUGGCGGGAAAUCAGGACUGUUACUUUGAAAAAAUUAGAGUGUUUAAAGCUGGCUCGCGCUUGAAUACAUUAGCAUGGAAUAAUGAAAUAGGACGUUCGAUCCUAUUUUGUUGGUUUCUAGGAUUGACGUAAUGAUUAAUAGGGAUAGUUGGGGGCAUUAGUAUUCAAUUGUCAGAGGUGAAAUUCUUGGAUUUAUUGAAGACUAACUACUGCGAAAGCAUUUGCCAAGGAUGUUUUCAUUAAUCAAGAACGAAAGUUAGGGGAUCGAAGACGAUCAGAUACCGUCGUAGUCUUAACCAUAAACUAUGCCGACUAGGGAUCGGAUGAUGUUAUUUUUAAUGACUCAUUCGGCGCCUUACG
rnacentral:misc_RNA from 1 species